rnacentral:rRNA from 1 species
AUGAACGCUGGCGGCGUGCUUAACACAUGCAAGUCGAACGGAAAGGCCCAAGCUUGCUUGGGUACUCGAGUGGCGAACGGGUGAGUAACACGUGGGUGAUCUGCCCUGCACUUCGGGAUAAGCCUGGGAAACUGGGUCUAAUACCGGAUAGGACCACUUCUUGGAUGUUGUGGUGGAAAGUUUUUUCGGUGUGGGAUGAGCUCGCGGCCUAUCAGCUUGUUGGUGGGGUAAUGGCCUACCAAGGCGUCGACGGGUAGCCGGCCUGAGAGGGUGUACGGCCACAUUGAGACUGAGAGACGGCCCAGACUCCUACGGGAGGCAGCAGGGGGGAAGAUUGCACAAUGGGCGCAAGCCUGAUGCAGCGACGCCGCGUGGGGGAUGACGGCCUUCGGGUUGUAAACUCCUUUCGCUAGGGACGAAGCGUUUUGUGACGGUACCUGGAGAAGAAGCACCGGCUAACUACGUG